rnacentral:rRNA from 1 species
UUAACCCGGUAGCUUACACAAUGCAAGGUCGAACGGAAUCUUCGGAUUUAGUGGCGGACGGGUGAGUAACGCGUGAGAAUCUAGCUCUAGGUCGGGGACAACCACUGGAAACGGUGGCUAAUACCGGAUGUGCCGAAAGGUGAAAGAUUUAUUGCCUAGAGAUGAGCUCGCGUCUGAUUAGCUAGUUGGUGUGGUAAGAGCGCACCAAGGCGACGAUCAGUAGCUGGUCUGAGAGGAUGAUCAGCCACACUGGGACUGAGACACGGCCCAGACUCCUACGGGAGGCAGCAGUGGGGAAUUUUCCGCAAUGGGCGAAAGCCUGACGGAGCAAUACCGCGUGAGGGAGGAAGGCUCUUGGGUUGUAAACCUCUUUUCUCAGGGAAUAAGAAAGUGAAGGUACCUGAGGAAUAAGCAUCGGCUAACUCCGUGCCAGCAGCCGCGGUAAUACGGAGGAUGCAAGCGUUAUCCGGAAUGAUUGGGCGUAAAGCGUCCGCAGGUGGCACUGUAAGUCUGCUGUUAAAGAGCAAGGCUCAACCUUGUAAAGGCAGUGGAAACUACAGAGCUAGAGUACGUUCGGGGCAGAGGGAAUUCCUGGUGUAGCGGUGAAAUGCGUAGAAAUA